rnacentral:pre_miRNA from 1 species
AACGUUUAUGAAUCCGGGCUGAGAUUUCGUCAGACACCAACCUAUUAUGACUGAUCAGACUUCCAAGAUAAAUGAAGUU